rnacentral:lncRNA from 1 species
UAAUACCUACAACAAAGUUUAUAAUACAAAUGGCAUAGACAAUGGCGCGCACAUUUCCUCUGAUCUUGGCUAUAAUAGAAACCUAGUAACAAUGAGACCCUUACCACAAAAAAUAUUUUAAAAAGCCCGUUACUAAAUACAAUUGUAUUUGGGUAUUAUUAUUUGGGUGUUGAGGGUGGUGUAGCUAGACUACAGGCCAGUUCAAGUCACAAUACGGAGUACAACACAUCUCGUUGAUGAAAAAUUGUCUUGCUGUUCUUUACUUAUAAUUUGGAUCUCGUCGAAGCUGACUGCAAAUACAAGAAAUUCACGAUGUUUCCUUCAUGUUUGAACUGCGUCAAAGUGGAGACAGGCUCUGUGAUAUUUACCAUUAUCAAUUAUAUAUUCUAUGCAUUGUAUACAGUGUCGUAUGCGGCGUUAUUCGUUUUUGCCUACGUCACGCUACGCCAACCUGAACACCGUGGGAACAAUGAAUACGUCUGCAUUGUAGCGUUAUUAAUUUUCAUCUUGUUCCAAUUUUACCUUUUUAUUCAUUUAAUGACUCUGCAUUGUUAUUAUUUUCUGUAUAACUCAACGAACUCAUUAGGGUAAGUGUGAUAUUACCUUUGGAAAACUUGUGAUAUUAUUUGUAGAGUUUGUUUCAAUAGAAGUUGUGAAAAAUGUAAACAAACGAAUCAUUGA